rnacentral:misc_RNA from 1 species
GAUGAAGAACGUAGCGAAAUGCGAUAAGUAAUGCGAAUUGCAGAAUUCCGUGAAUCAUCGAAUCUUUGAACGCACAUUGCGCCCCCUGGUAUUCCGGGGGGCAUGCCUGUCCGAGCGUCAUUACAACCCUCAAGCUCAGCUUGGUGUUGGGCCCCGCCGCCCCGGCGGGCCCUAAAGUCAGUGGCGGUGCCGUCCGGCUCCGAGCGUAGUAAUUCUUCUCGCUCUGGAGGUCCGGUCGUGUGCUCGCCAGCAACCCCCAAUUUUUUUCAGGUUGACCUCGGAUCAGGUAGGGAUACCCGCUGAACUUAAGCAUAUCAAUAAGCGGAGGA